CCUACAAAAAAUCAAAAAUAAUAGAUAUAAUAUAAAGAACUUCAAUCAACAAAGAAGAACCAAGAAACACAGCUCCAGGGAAUAUAGACUUCAAAAGUCUAAAACCCUAUAAAAGAAGAAGAAGAAGAAGAAGCUGAGAGAGAAAGCGGGAUCUACAAGAUUCUCAGCGGAUGACAGUGAAAGCUUUACAACAUGGAAUCCCAGUUCCUAUGCACAGGCCCAUGCUGAAGAGAGUCUUUGAUAAAUAGUUGAAUAUCACAGGAAAAUUAUUCUCACCUUGUCUUUGAUGCAAUAUUAGAGGAAUGGAAAGGAAGUGGAUAAUUUCUGACUGGUCUAGAUAAUGUAAAAAGGUUAGU